GACAGAGGGUGCAAACGUUGCUCGGAAUCACUGGGCGUAAAGCGCGUGUAGGCGGAUGUUCAAGUCAGGUGUGAAAGCCCUGGGCUCAACCCAGGAACUGCAUCUGAAACUGGACGUCUUGAGUACUGGAGAGGGAAGCGGAAUUCCUGGUGUAGAGGUGAAAUUCGUAGAUAUCAGGAGGAACACCGGUGGCGAAGGCGGCUUCCUGGACAGUGACUGACGCUGAGACGCGAAAGCGUGGGGAGCAAACCGG
rnacentral:misc_RNA from 1 species